rnacentral:tRNA from 1 species
UCCCUGGUGGUCCAGUGACUAAGACUCUACGCUCCUGAUGCAGCGGGCCAGGGUUCAAUCCCUGGUCAGGGAG